UACAGAGGUCUCAAGCGUUGUUCGGAUUCAUUGGGCGUAAAGGGUGCGUAGGCGGCGCGGUAAGUCGGGGGUGAAAUCUCGGGGCUUAACUCCGAAACUGCAUUCGAUACUGCCGUGCUUGAGGACUGGAGAGGAGACUGGAAUUUACGGUGUAGCGGUGAAAUGCGUAGAUAUCGUAAGGAAGACCAGUGGCGAAGGCGGGUCUCUGGACAGUUUCUGACGCUGAGGCACGAAGGUCAGGGGAGCAAACGGG
rnacentral:rRNA from 1 species